ensembl:lncRNA SNHG26 small nucleolar RNA host gene 26
CUUUUCGGCCGCGGCGCGUGACUGGCCAUCCCCCACCGCCACCAGUGCCGUUCAUUUGCUACUGGCCCGCAGUCAGAUAAUUUAAAGGCUUGGAGGGACGAGUCUUGCUGGAGCCGACGCCUACAGCUUGGUGGAGUUUCAAGAUGCUGAUGAACUUAAGGUCUGGCGCUUGAAAGAAUCAGUGAAGCUUUUCAAGUAGAGGAGUGGUGUUUCCAGUGAAAUCUAUGGCAAGAUGGUUUGGGGUCACUAUCUACAUGAACUGCCAAGUUGGAAAAUCAAAAAUACAUCAAAAUCACUCUUGGGACAUAAGUCACGGAAGUGACUCAUGCACACAAUAAAUACCCAAGAAGCAGGACCAGACGGCAGUUGUGUAUUGGCACGCUCAUCAGUGCUGCAAAAAUUCCCCUUCUGGAUGGCAACAACAAUGCUGUAUCCACAGCAGCAUUUUAAAUCUCACCUCUGAUUACUCUACUUUGAAGAAAGGAAUGGAACAGAAGGUGUCUGCAUAACUAAAUGGGGAUCUAGAGAAAGUGGAGACUGCCUCUGGAGCAGGGAGGAUUAUGCCACCAUGACUAGAAGGCCCCCUAAUGGAGUUUAUCUGCACUGCAAGGGGCCAGUUGUCUCAGAAUCAUCCUCCGUUGACAUCUCCAUCUCCAGGACAGCUCCACACUAAUCUGUUUCAAAGACAAAAUCCAGUCUAAUCAGUUUGAUGUAUGUUUCUGGGAAUAGAGCCGAAUGUUGUAGCUGAUGGAAUGGAGUCUCAUACCAUUGAUUUUGCAGCUGGACAAGUGCCCUGCCAUGUUACUGCCACUCUUUAAGGCAGAAUAGAGCACAUUGUAUCAUUUAUAGGCCUCUCACAGUGAGAAAUAUGUGGAACUUUGGAAAUCAGAAUCUAAAACUGCAGUCCAAUGGGGUAGCCACUAUUCACAUGUGCUAUUGAGUACCUAAAAUGUGGCUAGACCAAGUUGACAUGUGCUGAAGGGUGAAAAACACCAGGAGUGAAGAAUUAACUUGAAAAAAAUGUAAACUAUCUCAAUUUUAUAUUGAUUACAAAUUAAAUGAUGUUUUGAAUAUAUUGAGUUAAAUGAAAUACAUUUUUUAAUGAUACAUGAUGCGUAUUAUAUUUCUGUUGGACAGUACUGGUCUAAAACAGUUGAUUCACUAUCCAGUAGAGAGAAAGGUAUUGCUGUUUUACCAUAUGUGACCUUCAGGGAAAAGAAGAAUAAAAUUAGCACUUGAAAAUGGAAAAA